rnacentral:rRNA from 1 species
AGAGUUUGAUCCUGGCUCAGAACGAACGCUGGGCGGCGUGGCUAAGGCAUGCAAGUCGAACGGGCCAUGAGGAUGGUAACUGAAUCAUGGUUAGUGGCGCACGGGUGAGUAACACAUGGGUAACGUACCUUUGGCUCAGGGAUAGCGGCGCCCUUCGGGGCUUUAGCGAAAGUGCCGGUAAUACCUGAUAACAUCCGGAGAUUUCAUGGUUUCCGGAUCAAAGAUGGGGAUCCUUCGGGACCUAUUGGCCGCUGAUCGGCCCAUGUCCUAUCAGCUAGUUGGUGGGGUAACGGCCUACCAAGGCUAUGACGGGUAGCCGGCGUGAGAGCGCGACCGGCCACAUCGGGACUGAGACACUGCCCGGACACCUACGGGUGGCUGCAGCAACGAAUAUUCCGCAAUGGGCGAAAGCCUGACGGAGCGACGCCGCGUGAGGGAUGAAGUCCUUCGGGAUGUAAACUUCAAUAGUAUGUCAGGAAGUAAGGCGGGCCAAUACCCCGCCAAGUUGACCAUCAUACGAAAGGGGUGGCUAACUCCGUGCCAGCAGCCGCGGUAAGACGGAGACCCCUAGCGUUGUUCGGAAUUACUGGGCUUAAAGCGCGUGUAGGCGGGACGGUAAGUACUUUGUGAAAGCCCCGGGCUUAACCCGGGAACUGCUUGGUAUACUGCCGUUCUUGAGGCAGGCAGGGGUUACUGGAACCUUAGGUGGAGCGGUGAAAUGCGUAGAUAUCUAAGGGAACGCCUGUGGCGAAGGCGGGUAACUGGACCUGAUCUGACGCUGAGACGCGAAAGCGUAGGGAGCGAACGGGAUUAGAUACCCUGGUAGUC